AACUCUUUUGUAUUUUGAGUUAACGCACGUUUUUCUUCGCGCCAGCAAUGUUUAGAGCAUUCUGUGUAUUCAUCUUUUCUUUUUGGUUCGCCACGGUCCUUUUACCACUUUCACUUGCACCUGUGCAACAUUAAAAGGCGGUUAACUAUCUGCGGACUUCGUCUUGUCUAUGGCAGAAUAGCGUUAAAGAAAAGAGUGCGCAAUGCUGAAAAACUUUAAUAGUUCAAUUCUUGAAUUGAUUUUCAAUAAAUAUUAUAAAAAUCAACCUA